CCCUACGGGAGGCAGCAGUAGGGAAUCUUCCACAAUGGACGAAAGUCUGAUGGAGCAACGCCGCGUGAGUGAAGAAGGGUUUCGGCUCGUAAAGCUCUGUUGGUAGUGGAGAAAGAUAGAGGGAGUAACUGGCCUUUAUUUGACGGUAAUUACUUAGAAAGUCACGGCUAACUAAGUGCCAGCAGCCGCGGUAAUACGUAGGUGGCAAGCGUUGCCCGGAUUUAAUGGGCGUAAAGCGAGUGCAGGCGGGUGCAAAAAGAUGAU
rnacentral:rRNA from 1 species